rnacentral:rRNA from 1 species
CCUACGGGAGGCAGCAGUGGGGAAUUUUGGACAAUGGGGGAAACCCUGAUCCAGCAAUGCCGCGUGUGUGAAGAAGGCCUUCGGGUUGUAAAGCACUUUUGUCCGGAAAGAAAACCUUUGCACUAAUACUGUGAGGGGAUGACGGUACCGGAAGAAUAAGCACCGGCUAACUACGUGCCAGCAGCCGCGGUAAUACGUAGGGUGCGAGCGUUAAUCGGAAUUACUGGGCGUAAAGCGUGCGCAGGCGGUUCGUUAAGACAGAUGUGAAAUCCCCGGGCUUAACCUGGGAACUGCAUUUGUGACUGGCGAGCUAGAGUAUGGCAGAGGGGGGUAGAAUUCCACGUGUAGCAGUGAAAUGCGUAGAGAUGUGGAGGAAUACCGAUGGCGAAGGCAGCCCCCUGGGCCAAUACUGACGCUCAUGCACGAAAGCGUGGGGAGCAAACAGGAUUUAGAUACCCUGGUAAGUCCCACCGACCCUAACCGAACUAGUCUAACUACGUUAGUUGGUUCGUUCUAUUGUACUUAGUUAACGUAGUACUAACGCGUGUAGUAGUACCGCCGUGGGAGGUACGGUCGGCGAAGUAAGUUAAACGUUAACGUUAAAGUUAAGUAGUUACGGUUGUGAGAGCGACGACGGACGACGACGGAGGAGGAGG